UACGAAGGGGACUAGCGUUGUUCGGAAUCACUGGGCGUAAAGCGCACGUAGGCGGCUAUGUCAGUCAGGGGUGAAAUCCCGGGGCUCAACCUCGGAACUGCCCUUGAUACAGCAUAUCUUGAGUCCGAUAGAGGUGGGUGGAAUUCCUAGUGUAGAGGUGAAAUUCGUAGAUAUUAGGAAGAACACCGGUGGCGAAGGCGGCCCACUGGAUCGGUACUGACGCUGAGGUGCGAAAGCGUGGGGAGCAAACAGG
rnacentral:rRNA from 1 species